rnacentral:rRNA from 1 species
UACGUAGGGGGCUAGCGUUGUCCGGAAUCAUUGGGCGUAAAGCGCGUGUAGGCGGCCCGGUAAGUCCGCUGUGAAAGUCGGGGGCUCAACCCUCGAAAGCCGGUGGAUACUGUCGGGCUAGAGUACGGAAGAGGCGAGUGGAAUUCCUGGUGUAGCGGUGAAAUGCGCAGAUAUCAGGAGGAACACCGGUGGCGAAGGCGGAUCUCUGGGCCUUACCUGACGCUGAGGAGCGAAAGCGUGGGUAGCGAACAGG